rnacentral:rRNA from 1 species
GAUGAACGCUGGCGGCGUGCCUAACACAUGCAAGUCGAGCGAACAGACGAGGAGCUUGCGCCUUUGACGUUAGCGGCGGACGGGUGAGUAACACGUAGGUAACCUACUUAUAAGACUGGGAUAAUUUCGGGAAACCGGAGCUAAUACCGGAUAAUAUUUCGAACCGCAUGGUUCGAUAGUGAAAGAUGGCUUUGCUAUCACUUAUAGCUGGACCUGCGCCGUAUUAUCUAGUUGGUAAGGUAACGGCUUACCAAGGCAGCGAUACGUAGCCGACCUGAGAGGGGGGUCGGCCACACUGGAACUGGGACACCGUCCAGGCUCCUAAGGGAGGCAGCAGUAGGGAAUCUUCGGCAAUGGGGGGAAACCUGGCGGAACAACGCCGCGUUGGUGGUAGAGGUCUUCGGAUCGUAAAACUCUGUUAUUAGGGAAAAACAGACGUGUAAGUAACUGUGCACGGCUUGACGGUACCUAAUCAAAAAGCCACGGCUAACUACGUG